GCCUCUGUAGCUCAGUUGGUUAGAGCGCUGCACCAGAAUAGCAAGGCCGUAGGUUCAAUUCCUACCAGAGGAC
rnacentral:tRNA from 1 species